AAUCGGACUAGGAUAUAGCUGGUUUUCUGCGAAAAUUGUUUUGGCAAAUUGUUUAUUCCUCUCAAAAAUAGUAGGUAUAGCACUGAAUAUCUCGAGGGAGUAUGAAAAUAUUUAUCUCAGAUAUUUAAUCUCAAAAUAACUAUUUCUUAAAAUAAAUAAUCAGACUAUGUGCGAUAAGGUAGAUAGUCGAAAGGGAAACAGCCCAGAACAGUAAUUAAAGCUCCCCAAUUAAUAUUAAGUG
rnacentral:rRNA from 1 species